UUGGAGGGCAAGUCUGGUGCCAGCAGCCGCGGUAAUUCCAGCUCCAAUAGCGUAUAUUAAAGUUGUUGCAGUUAAAAAGCUCGUAGUUGAAUUUCGGGGUUCUACCGUUGGUCGGGCAACUGUCUGUACUGGCGUGUGGAAUUUCUACUUUCUGGGGAACUAUCAUGUUAUUAAUUUAACGUGGUGGGAAACCAGGACCUUUACCUUGAAAAAAUUAGAGUGUUCAAAGCAGGCUUAUGUCUGAAUACAUUAGCAUGGAAUAAUAAAAUAGGACGGUGGUCCUGUUUUGUUGGUUUCUGAAUCACCGUAAUGAUUAAUAGGGAUAGUUGGGGGCAUUAGUAUUCAAUUGUCAGAGGUGAAAUUCUUGGAUUUAUUGAAGACUAACUACUGCGAAAGCAUUUGCCAAGGAUGUUUUCAUUAAUCAAGAACGAAAGUUAGGGGAUCGAAGACGAUCAGAUACCGUCGUAGUCUUAACCAUAAACUAUGCCGACUAGGGAUCGGACGAUGUUAACUUUUCUUGACUCGUUCGGCGCCUUACGGGAAAC
rnacentral:rRNA from 1 species